CCGAAGGUCUGGGUUAAAUUGUAAGAUAAUUGUUAUGUAUUUUUAGGAUGAACAGAAGUAUCACGCAUCAUCUCGCCGAUAAGCAAAAUAUUUUUCAAAGGAUUGUUCGAUAUUUUCAAUCAUGUUCUUUGUUCAUCCACUGUUCAGCCUGAAUCUUCUAAGUUCAGCCAGAUGUUCAAGUGUUAACAAAAUAGUUCGAUUUGCAGCUCCAGUUGUUCAAAUGUUCAUAUAAUUCAGAGAAUGUUCGUUACUUUAAACUCAAUCAAAUGAAUGAAUCACAUAG